rnacentral:tRNA from 1 species
UGUUCUGUGGCUUAGCUGAAUAAGACGACGAACUAACGAUACGGAGUCGUGGUUUCGAAUCCCACCAGAACAA